CAGUAGCCGCGGGAAUACGAAGGGGGCUAGCGUUGCUCGGAAUUACUGGGCGUAAAGGGCGCGUAGGCGGACAGUUCAGUCGGGGGUGAAAGCCCGGGGCUCAACCUCGGAAUUGCCUUCGAUACUGGCUGUCUUGAGUAUGAGAGAGGUGUGUGGAACUCCGAGUGUAGAGGUGAAAUUCGUAGAUAUUCGGAAGAACACCAGUGGCGAAGGCGACACACUGGCUCAUUACUGACGCUGAGGCGCGAAAGCGUGGGGAGCAAACAGGAUUAGAUACCCCAGUAGUCCCUGUCUCUUAUAC
rnacentral:rRNA from 1 species